rnacentral:rRNA from 1 species
UACAGAGGUCCCAAGCGUUGUUCGGAUUCAUUGGGCGUAAAGGGUGCGUAGGUGGCGCCGUAAGUGGGGUGUGAAAUCCCGGGGCUUAACCCCGGGACUGCAUUCCAUACUGCGGUGCUUGAGGACUGGAGAGGAGACUGGAAUUUACGGUGUAGCAGUGAAAUGCGUAGAGAUCGUAAGGAAGACCAGUGGCGAAGGCGGGUCUCUGGACAGUUCCUGACACUGAGGCACGAAGGCCAGGGGAGCAAACAGG